GCCACUAUAACUCAGGUGGUUAGAGCACUGGUCUUGUAAGCCAGUGGUCGUGGGUUCAAUCCUCACUAGUGGUU